rnacentral:lncRNA from 1 species
AUCACAUUCAAUAAUUUCAUCAGAAAUUUCAGUUACAUCUACAAAAUAACAGCAUUGGAAGCACAUAUUUCCAGUUCAGUUUACAAAAAAUCACAACAUUUUCCCAAAAAAGUAACUAUACAAGAGAAACCACAUGAUGUUCAAGAUUUCGAUCCUCUAUUGUUGGACUUCUUUGUCUGUGACUUGGAGGUUUCCAUUGAAUGUGUUUUUCUCUCCCCUUCGCUGAUCUGGUAUGUGUAUCCUUUUAGGACUCUGUUUGUGUGGUUGGUUGAGACUGUUGCUGUGAACUAUUUUCACCAGGCAGUGCCCUCUUACAGCUUCUUUUGUUAUGUCCAGACCCUCCACAGCGUUUACACGUCAUCUUCAUGCCAGUCAUUCCCAUCUUAACUCCUGUAGGUGGCUUUGCCUGUGACCUCUUCCUUAUUUUUUGGGUCUGCCAGCCUGUUUUCUCUUCUAAGGUUGAUUGAGAGAAUGUUUUCCCAAUUCUGGCCACAGUUCAGGCCCUGACAUCGAGUGGAUCACUGGGGAGUAACACUUAAGGUAUGUUUCCUUGCUAUACCAUGGGUCGAUGUACUCAUAUAUGCCAAUAUCCCUUGAAAGCAUGCCUGAUAUUGCAUGGGGGCAUGGUAUUCCAGUGAACUUUCAUUUUCUGCAUGCACAUGCAUGUUUUGUCAAGUCAACACUCCACCUCAAACCGUCUCUGCUGCUUAUCUCAAACUUAUGGUUGCCUACAUAGAGUGCCUUCAAGUACCUUGCCUCAGAAGUAGCAUUCUCAAUGAUUUUCACAAUUCUUAGCCCGAAUGCAUGAUCCCACCUCUGUGCUGCUUCCCUUUUUACAUUCAUCCUUAUCAUUUGUUGAUGCCAAAUUUUCUCUAGCAUCGAGAUGAUGGGCCUAUCUCUGGCAACAACAAUAGAAGAAUUGAAUGCCUCACACAAAUUAUUAAGAAGAAUAUCACAUCUCGAAUGCUCUUCAAAAUGGGAUCUGGUCCACUGGGAAGGAGGUUUUUCAAGGAACCAGUUGUAAGCCUCUUCACUUAUGUCUUUUAACUCAUUCAUUGCACUCUUCCAUUCUGGCACUGUUGUUGCCCUUGCUGCAGUCCAAAAUAGGUUCUUAAGGACCAGACCUUUGUGUGCCAAGGUGAAAUUGCUAUAAAGAUGUCUAGCACAACACCUAUGUUCUGCUCCUUCACAGUAUUGACUUAUGGAAUCCAUCAAACCCUUUUGUUUGUUGGAAAUGAAUGUCCAAACUCAAGGGUUGUGCAUCCCUAUGUCAUGAACUAACAAUUCCAUGAACCAUUGCCAAUUUGUUUUGUUCUCUGCAUCCACAACUGCCCAUGCUAAUGGAACAUACAGUUCUCACCAUCGAUGCCAAUAGCUGCCAACUGCCCACAUUCUGCAGAUUUUACGAAGCAUCCAUCCAAUCCAACAAUUGGCCUGCACCCAGCCUUAAACCCUUCCUUACAAGCCCCUAUGCAGACAGAUGUACAAUCUCUUAAAAGUAUGUCCCGAGCCUUCGAUUUACACUGUACUGCCUGGAUUUAUUCUCUUCAAUUCCUCACCGUAAUCCCAUAAAAAUUUUUACUGCUAAGCUACAAUCACAUUGAUAAUUUCUGCACAUUUCGAUCUUGUCCUGUAGAACUGAUGCUUUGAAAUCUCAAACAUGCAGUCCUCUUUCACAGUCUCCAUAAAACUACUCAUUGGAAUGUUGGGAUCAGACUAAAUUUUCUCACGUAUUUCUUUGCCAGAAAACCUGAAUUAACCCUUUUAUUUUGCCACACCAUGGUACAUGUGUGCUUAUCUACCAAUGUAUAUAUUCUAAAACUCUUGUCGAGUUGUUGGUACGCAUACAGAACCCAAGGGCAAUUAUCUUGACAUCGAACUCCCAACUAUGUCCUCAUAUUUUUCACGUAUCUUAGUUGCCUAGAAUUUUUGACUGAGUAUUGAACUACUGCAUUCCUUAGAAUCUUGACAUUGUCGAAUUUCAUCCCUGGCAAAAAUGAACAUAGCAUACUAUCAUAAAUUUCUUCAAUCAAGCGAACAAUGUACAUGUUAAACAAAACAAAUGCUUUACCUAGCUUGAAUUGUGGAUCAUCCAUAUCGGUUGCAAGGUUAAACCAGCACACAUUCUUCCUUCUAGCAAAUGAUCCCUCAACCUCCGUAUCACUGGGUAAGCUUCUAAGCUCAUUGGAGUCUUCAUAGUCUGCUCCAGAUUCUUCCCAGCAGCUGCCUUACCUUCCUGCUCAUCCCUUACACCUUCCUGCUCACUCCUUACACUAAUGUCAAAACUUUCACUCAACCUGAAAUGUGUUUUCAUCAUUAUCAUCAACAGCAAUAUUUUCUUCCUGCUAGUACUCCGUUCCUAUCCCAAAAUACCCUCCUCAUAUUCAUCAUCUUGCUCAGGAUCAUCAUGUUCCACACCAGUUUCAACAACCGGUAUGUCAACAUGCGGUUCAUCAAGCUCCACAUCAGUUUCAGCAACCUGCACCUCUGGUUCGACAUCAUGCAACUCAUGUUCAGCAGCCUACACCUCAUGCUGAGCCUGCUGUUGUGGUUCAGAAGCAUGCACAUCAAUUUCAGCAGCCUGCACCUCUGCUUCGGCAUCAUGUUCAGCAGCCUACGCCUCUUGUUCAGCAGCAUGCAACUCCUGUUGAGCCUGCUGCUGUGGUUCAGAAGCAUGCACAUCAGUUUCAGCAGCUUGUACCACUGUUUCAGCGUCAUGCAACUCAUGUUCAGACCUCAACUGUGGUUCAAAAUUACGUGGUUUCUCUGGUUCAGCAGCAUGCACUUCUGGUUCAUGUGAGUCUACUUCAGCCCUUAUAAAAUCAACCUCUGUAUACUCAUGCUCUGUUCCAUGCACUAUAACCUCUUCGACGUCAUCUCCUGUAAGGAAAACUUCCUCUUCACCUGCUUCCAUGUCAUCUACUUCAUCAACUACAUACACGUCAUCACGUUCUACUGAUUCAUCAUAAAUCUCAACAGCAUAGCAUGAUUGCUGCUCAUUUAAUGCUUCACUAGACUUUUGAACCUUCACCAACUCCUCACCAGUCUCACAAUCAAACACUUGAACAUCCUUUUGUUCUGUUUCAUCCCAAGGCAACUCCAAAACUUCAACUACAGGCAAGCAAUACAGUUUAACUGUCCUAUUAUCACCAAGCCACUUCACUAAGUUCAUGAAAUCUAAGUCUUUAACCAACCAAAAUGAAGCUUCACUCAUUCUUUUC